UACGGGGGGGGCGAGCGUUGUUCGGAAUUACUGGGCGUAAAGGGCUUGUAGGUGGUCUGCUACGUCAGACGUGAAAUCCCUCAGCUUAACUGGGGAACUGCGUCUGAUACGGGCUGACUUGAGGACAGGAGAGGAACGCGGAAUUCCAGGUGUAGCGGUGAAAUGCGUAGAUAUCUGGAGGAACACCGGUGGCGAAGGCGGCAGCCUGGACCGACACUGACGCUGAGGAGCGAAAGCCAGGGGAGCAAACGGG
rnacentral:rRNA from 1 species